rnacentral:tRNA from 1 species
GGGGAUAUAGCUCAGUUGGUAGAGUGCUUGCCUUGCAUGCACAAGGCCCUGGGUUCGAUCCCUAAUACCA